GACGAACGCUGGCGGCGUGCUUAACACAUGCAAGUCGAACGGAAAGGCCCUGCUUUUGUGGGGUGCUCGAGUGGCGAACGGGUGAGUAACACGUGAGUAACCUGCCCUUGGCUUUGGGAUAACUUCAGGAAACUGGGGCUAAUACCGGAUAGGAGCUCCUGCUGCAUGGUGGGGGUUGGAAAGGUUCGGCGGUUGGGGAUGGACUCGCGGCUUAUCAGCUUGUUGGUGGGGUAGUGGCUUACCAAGGCUUUGACGGGUAGCCGGCCUGAGAGGGUGACCGGCCACAUUGGGACUGAGAUACGGCCCAGACUCCUACGGGAGGCAGCAGUGGGGAAUAUUGCACAAUGGGCGGAAGCCUGAUGCAGCAACGCCGCGUGCGGGAUGACGGCCUUCGGGUUGUAAACCGCUUUCGCCUGUGACGAAGCGUGAGUGACGGUAAUGGGUAAAGAAGCACCGGCUAACUACGUG
rnacentral:rRNA from 1 species